GCGCCCGUAGCUCAAUCGGCAGAGCAGGGGACUCUUAAUCCCAAGGUUAUAGGUUCGAUUCCUAUCGGGCGUACCA
rnacentral:tRNA from 1 species